rnacentral:lncRNA from 1 species
GCAUAGUCCGGAGCGUCCGCCUUGUUGUCGUGCGCCGCCCAGCGGUCCCCCCGGGGUGGUUGCCGAAUGUGCCUUGUCUCAGCGGAAUCGUGGGCAGGGGUAGGGGAGGAAAGAAAACAGGUCAUGACAACACAUAUUGGUAACCUAUUAACAUAACCCAUAAGACAUUUAUCCCAACUUAGUGGAGGAUGAUCCUCCGUGAUCCUUCUACCUGUCGGAUCUAAAAUCCCGGUCUUAUCUCUCGCCAGGUCGAUCGGGGGUGGCCAUCCGCCGCGUCAAGAAGUGUCUCAAACGGGGCGGGUGUACAGCCCCAGAGCACCCCCGCGAGGCUCUAAGCUUGUGUCUAACUUGUCGUGGGUGUUUACGACAUAGGGUGUGACGAUCACCGGCUCCUGUGAGCCUAUCUGUAUAGGUGUGUCCUGAGGGAGGGGGUGUGAAUGGCCCUUCACCUGUCCUGCUGUUUUCCUCCGUGUCUUGGGUAUCUGAUCCCUCUCCCUGGGCCCUUUGGGUUUUUUUUUUUUUUGUUUGUUUUUUUUAACUUUUCCCUUACUUGCUUCCCCUCACUGUGUGCCCCUUUGUGUGGAAGUGCUAGAUGCGCAGUUGUGUCCCCUUGAACCUUUCCCCGGUGGGGGGGUGGAUGUAUGUCCUCUCCCACCUGUCACUUCCAACUUCCAAGCCCUUGCCUAGUUACUGUGGCCUUGUCUGGCGGGAAACAGCUGGUUCAUGCCCGAUUUGAGCGUCUCCAACGAUAGGGGGCCCUCUGCCAGCAGUACUAUGGCCGAUGGUUUGGUCUGGUCUAAGCCUGUUGCCUUUUGAUCAGACACCUCCCGGAGUAUAUGUGGGAUGGCUUGUUGUUAACCCCAAAAGGGUCGUUAAAUAUACCAUCCCACCCUAAUGUUAGCGAGUUUGCCUGCUUUUUUUUCUUCUUCCAAUUGUAUAUGGAGUGGCUAUAUUCGUACCCUUCUCCAUUCGGGUAAUCUCCCCCUCCCUAUCUUUCGUCAGACCCCAUGUCCCCUCUCUCCCCUACCAGCUUUCAAUUUUAACUAUGUCCGCAAUGUCCCUUUAAUGUGAUGUAUCAUAUAUAUCAACUUGCGUGUUGUAUUGUCCAUGUUGCGUGUCCCUCAGGCACGGGUCGCCAUCUUUGUUGCCUAUCUCGCUCUGCGUUCCAGCCAUUCCCUGGGAAGCAGUCCCAGCGCCCUGGGCCCCCUCGGUGGUAAGGUCAGGUCUCCCGGUACCUCGAUGCCCAGUUCUUGGAGGACGCCUCUGGGGUCCAUGGAUGGUGUCAGCACUGUCGGUCUUGGGCCAUUAAAGAUGAGCAUCUUAAAGGGGAAGCCCCAUGCGAAGCGCAGGCCUUUGGCUCUGAGGAGGUCAGCAAUGGGUUUCCAUUCUCGUCUUCUUGCGAGGGUAGUUGGAGCGAUGUCUUGGUAGAUCUGUAGCGUCUUUCCUUUAUACAUGUAUGGCUGGAGCCUGCUUUGCUUGAGAAUUGCUUCUUUCGUGGAAAAAAGUGCCACCUUAUGAUGACAUCUCUGGGAGGGCUGUUUUGCGGUCCCUUAGCUCGCAGUGCCCUGUGUAUCCUGUCGAUGUGCCACAGCUGAUCUGGUAUCUGUGGUAGGCUGGUGCGGAAGAUCUGCGCCAGUAGCUGCUCAAGGUCUCCAUCCCCUACCUCCUCUGGCAGGCCUCUUAUGCGCAUGUUGUUGCGCCGUGUUCGAUUAGAGUUGUCCUCCAGCUCCAUUUCCAGUUCAGCGACCCUGGUGAGUAGUGCGUUUGUGGCUGUGGUAUUUUCAUUGUGUGCUGCUACCACAUCUUCCAGCCUGCUCUCUAAGGCCUCUGUACGAAUGCCUAUGGCCUGGAUUUCUGCCUUCACCUCCCUGGCUGAUCUGUCUAUCUCCCCUGCCAGGUACCCCUUUACCUCCUCCAGAGAGUGGAGUAUAACGUUCUGGGGGUCCUCCGUGUGCCCAAAUAGGGAGGAUGUCGGCGUGGCCGGUGAGCCAGGAGUGGAGGUGCCCGUCGGGCUUUCCGCGCCAUGUGCACCACGUGGCGCGGGCUUAAUGGCGGCCAGCAUGUCUGCGACGGAUUGAUUGCCGCCACGCUGUUUCUUCCCCGCCGCCUUCCUCUGUGACAUGGUGCUCGGGGGUCCCUGCGAGCUUGCCGAGACUGGCGCUGUGUGUAGGGGUGAAUUUUACAGAGAAGUGCAGGUUGCCGGGCGGGUUGCAGAGCCUCUGGUGCGGAGCUCCGGAGUUAGGCUGCCAUCACUC